UGCGUAGGCGGUUAUCCAAGUCAUAUGUGAAAUACCAGGGCUUAACUUUGGGGGUGCAUAUGAAACUGGACUACUUGAGUACAGGAGAGGCAAGCGGAAUUCCUAGUGUAGCGGUGAAAUGCAUAGAUAUUAGGAGGAACACCAGUGGCGAAGGCGGCUUGCUGGACUGAAACUGACGCUGAGGCACGAAAGCGUGGGGAGCAAACA
rnacentral:rRNA from 1 species